CUUUAAUAUGUUGGUACGGGAAACAAGGAACAUUAUCCUCAUACAAAAAAAUAAGAUAUUUCUAAAUACAUGUUCCAAAUAAAAUGGAAUUUAUUACAAAGGAUAAUCAUAAGAUAUACUGGAAUUGUCCUGGACCUCACUUCUGUAAUGGAUAUAUGUUAAUGGAAUCCUUCCCCGAAUACGGGACCAACAUAUUACUAGUGAGGCCCCUCAUGGGGGGGUCCUAGUAAUCACAUAAUCACCAUUUUUUUGCCAAUAUAAUCACAUAAUCAUUAAAUAUUUGCUUAUCUUUAGUAAUCAAAUAAUCAGAAACUAAAAAUACAGUCCUAAGUAAUCAAAUAAUCAUGAAAUAUUUGGCUUAAUAAUCAAAUAAUCAUUAAAAAAACGGCCAAGUAAUCACAUAAUCAAAAACCCCAUGAGGGCCCUCACUAGUGGUAGACCCCAAUGUCCAAUGAUCUUCAAUUUCUACCGAAAAUUUGCUGUCAAAAAAAUGCUAACAUUCCAAUUUUCAAUAACAGUUAACAGCAAAUCCAUUAUCACAAUAACAGAUAACAAAAAAACUAAAAGCCCAAUAACAGCUAACAAUGAAUAAGACAAUAACAGCUAACAGCAAAUAUAUUUUCAGAAUAACAGAUAACAAAGAAUUAAAUUGCCCAAUAACAGCAUAACAGUUAAACCCCUUGCCCC
rnacentral:lncRNA from 1 species